GGGGCUCGUCCUCUUGCAGGAGAGCAUGACUGCCGUCUUGGUCUCCCAUUAGGAGUAGGCUCAAUAGAGGAAGAUCUAGCACUGGGUGCUCCAGGCCUACCUCUAGCGGCUGAAAGUGGUCUUUCGGGUAGUGAAGUUCUCAAAUUUGGUGGGGCAUCAAGUGAAAAACCAGGCAUCUCUGAAGGUUUCCAUGGCCUAGAUUUCACUGUUGGAGAUGUGCCGCGUGAUGGCACUGGAUUUCUUGCCAUUGUGGGUGUUGUCUUGGUAAUUGAAGGAGUUGACUUAACACGAGGAGCAGAUAUAGUUGAUGUUGUAGGCAUUGUCUUGGUAACUGAAGGAGUCGGCUUAACAGAAGCAGAUAUAGUUGAUGUACUUGAUGGAGUGGAUGGCCGUCGAGUUGGGGUUGAUGCCCUCGAUGUGGAUUUGGAUGGAGGAAUAGAGGGCCUUGUAGUUGGUGUUGAAGAUCUUGCAGUAGAUCUUGAUGGUGUUGAAGAUCUAGUAGGAAUUGUAGGCUUUGUUGCAGAAGCAGUGGGCUUAGCAGCAGAGACAGUUGGCUUAGCAGCAGAGACAAUUGGCUUAGUUGCAGAAGCUGCUGACUUAGAUGAAGGCAAAGUGGUCCGAGAAGUAGGUGUUGAAGAUCUAGAAG
rnacentral:misc_RNA from 1 species